CAAUAGCGUAUAUUUAAGUUGCUGCAGUUAAAAAGCUCGUAGUUGGAUUUCGGGUGGGAAUGGCCGGUCCGCAGUUUCGGUGUGCACUUGCUACGCCCACCUUGCUGCCGGGGACGUGCUCUUGAGUUCACGCUCGGGACACGGAGUCGGCGAGGUUACUUUGAGUAAAUUAGAGUGUUCAAAGCAGGCCUACGCUCUGAAUACAUUAGCAUGGAAUAACACGAUAGGACUCUGGCCUAUCUUGUUGGUCUGUAGGACCGGAGUAAUGAUUAAGAGGGACAGUCGGGGGCAUUCGUAUUUCAUUGUCAGAGGUGAAAUUCUUGGAUUUAUGAAAGACGAACUACUGCGAAAGCAUUUGCCAAGGAUGUUUUCAUUAA
rnacentral:rRNA from 1 species